UGGCUUAGAGGUUAAAAGCACUGGAUGCUCUUCCAGAGUUCCUGAGUUCAAUUCUCAG
rnacentral:tRNA from 1 species